rnacentral:rRNA from 1 species
AUUGAACGCUGGCGGCAGGCCUAACACAUGCAAGUCGAACGCGUGGCGGACGGGUGAGUAAUGUCUGGGAAACUGCCCGAUGGAGGGGGAUAACUACUGGCAACGGUAGCUAAUACCGCGUACCAUCGGCUGUGCCCCGAUGGGAUUUGCUUGUAGGUGAGGUAACGGCUCACCUAGGCGACGAUCCCUUGCUGGUCUGAGAGGAUGACCAGCCAUACUGGGAGUGAGACACGGUCAAGACUCCUACGGGAGGCAGCAGUGGGGAAUAUUGCACAAUGGGAGCAAGCCGGAUGCAGCCAUGCCGCGUGUAUGAAGAAGGCCGUCGGGUUGUAAAGUACGUUCAGCGGGGAGGCGUUACCCGCAGAAGAAGCACCGGCUAACUCCGUGCCAGCAGCCGCGGUAAUUC